UCUUUUACAAUCCAUUUUUUGGGGCCUCAACCCUUUUAGAAUCUGAAAUUUAUAUUGCUCUUUUUAGAAACAAGUCCAACAUAGUUUGGGCCAUGGCCUUUUUAGAGCCCAAGUAUUGAGUGCAAUAUAAAUUCUGGACAGGGCCUUUUUACAAUCCAAUAGUGGGCCAAGCCCUCUUUUAUUUACAGCCAAUAUUCUCAAAUCAGUAUAGUAACAGUACUUCUUUCCCACAGUAAUAACACAAGUAUAGAAAACUUUCUCACACAACUUUAUCUCGCAUAACAUUAGACAGACCAACACAUAUCAAUAACUUAUCUCCUAUGUUCACAAGUACAUAACUUUUAUCUCACACAACAUUAUACAGAACUGUAUCUUGCAGGUUCAAAUCACAUAAACUUUAUCUAACAGGUUCCCCGCAACAAAAGAUGAUCACCAUCAUCUCCUAAUCAAGAUGAAAAUAACCUGCACAUUCAAAAAGAAAAAAGCAAUAUGUCAAAGAGAGACAAACAAAAAAUAGAACAAACAAAAAAUAGAGACUUGCAUCAAGUAGACCUGAUGAUGUACAGAUAGUAACCAAACUAGCAUCUACUUUGCCCGAGAGAUAGCAUGAAGCAGUUUUGAUGCCAUUUAUGCAUUAUUUCUGAGACUAGCAGCAAAAAAUACAUAGGAUGCCAAACAGCCGACAGCAGCUAAGAUUGGUUAGUUGUUGGCUACCACCGAUGGCGAGAACUAAACGAGCAGGUUAGAUUCAUUGGGCUGGGUUGGAUUGGAUUGAUGCUGACAAAGUGACAACAGGAAGGUAAUGAGCACAUACAACUAGCUCUAGUAUACCGGCAUGCAUGAGCACUUGUUAAUAUUUAUAUUCAUCACAGCAACCUAUAACCACCUACGCAUACAAAUCAAAAAGCACACAUAUAUACUGAACAAAAGCAACAGCCAUGAAUAGAUGACUUAACAGUUCAUGUUUUUUAACAAAACAAGAGUGGACAUCUCAUAGUGAGUCUAAUACAGCUACAUUAAGCAGAGAACCACAUCAAGACAUGAAGAGUAAUCCAUCACAGUAUAGGAGGAUUGGACUGCAUACCUAGUCGUCCUUGAGGUAGAGGACCAUCUUGGUACCCCUGCC
rnacentral:lncRNA from 1 species